GCUGAGGUUCCCGAGCGGUCAAAGGGGGUAGAUUUAAGCUCUACUGCUACGGCUUCGUGGGUUCGAAUCCCACCUUCAGCA
rnacentral:tRNA from 1 species